UCCUCAGUAGCUCAGGGGUUAGAGCACUCGGCUGUUAACCGAGGUGUCGUUGGUUCAAAUCCAGCCUGGGGAGC
rnacentral:tRNA from 1 species